UAUUAUUGUUAUUAUUUUUUCACAAUAAUAUUUACGUGCAUAAUAUUGUCAGCCACAUAUGGUGGUGAUCUGUGGACUGUUUUUGAACAAAGUUAAAAGUGGCGCUUACUUUAUUAAAAAAUGAAAAUAUAAGGGGCCUAUGGAGGGUACCUUCUACUUUAUUUACCUCUACCUUCCGUAGGUCCCCCUAUACCUCCAUAGAGGGACCCCAUCAUUUGUUCGAAUCUAUUGUAGAGCCCUAUCGUCACAUUAGCUGGGUCAGCAAAGAGGAUCUCUCUGUUGUCACCAGCGAGGACCACUGCAAGGCCCGGGGAUGUAACCGUAUGGAUCAAAUAACAUCUGAAGACCUCUCACUUUGAUGAACGCCAACAUGUCAAAGUAAGAGGGUCCUUCACCACUAACGUUGCCCUUGGAUCACAGACAUGCUCCAUUGUAAAGUGCCUUAUUCUAUAUAGUAGGAUCUGUAGGGUGGACCAUAAUGCACGCACAGUAACCUCCUGGAACAUAAUUUCGGACCCAAGAAGUCCCAGUACUGUAAUCCAGCGGUACGGGCAAAAUUGAGCUGACGAAAGAGACACUCAGCUCUUCCCGAUAUAUCAGUGAGUACAGGGCGCUAUUACAGUAAUUUUUUUGGCAUUGAGACUCUGCAAUCAUGGCUCCCCUAUCAUGUAAACUCAAAAACAAUAAUAGAUUGCAAUAGUUAAUUAGAGAAUUGGAAUUGCCCUUCGUAAGCUCUGGGUGCAAUGGCGAACAGCUGAGUGCCUGGGUAAA